UCUCAGUGGACCAGGGCCCGGCUGAUAGGCUCCAUGGGGAAGGACACGGCGGAAUCACUGCAGAAACGGGAUCCCUGUCAAGAGAACGGGGACAGUCGUGUUGCUGAAUCAUUUUAAUCAGAGACUACAUUGCUGUUUGUAUCCAACCAUCUCCACACCAUCAUCAAGGGAUGUGGGGAAGCGUGGUCCGACUAUGGACAGAAAAGGAAGUGCAGAAGAAAAAACAAAACCAGCAUCACAACUAUUUUUUCAGCCUCAGAGGGUGUGAUGAUUCUAACAACUAUGUGCAUGUGCAGUUACUAAAGUGCUUGCGAGUGUGAUGGAGCUGCAGCAGCGUUUUUCUGCGUCCGUGAAUGAUUAUGAAGAAAGCGAAGGAAAUGCAGAGAAGAGGAAGAUGCAGAAAAAUGAUGCUGUUAGAACAGAAGAUCUUUAUCAAAGUCUUCAGUUCCCAUCUACUGCACACCAUGGAACUAUUAACAGUACAACACUGCUCUCAGAACACUGUGAAAGAAAGUAUGUGUUUUUACUGUUUGCUGUGAACAUUCUUAUCUCAGCCAUCAUCCUUGUCAUUGUGGGCUUAAAUUACUCUCACAACAGAGAAACACAACCAAUAAAAGGACAAAAAGUGUUGCGCAACUAAAUGGGUUUCUUGUGUGUGUAUGUGUUUUUUAUUAUUAUUUCUGUCAACUAACAAACUAGUCUAUAGUUCAUACUUACUAUUCUUUGAUAUCUUUCAGAAAUGUGGCUUCUCCAUGACAAUGUGUUUUAUUUGUUCUGGAGUGACCACAGUGAUUGCAGCGCUGCUGAGAGCUUCUGUUCUAAGAGAAAUGCCAGUCUGGCCAUUUUAACUGAGCAUAACAAGGUCUUUUUGAUGUCCAGAACCAACAGAAAGCAAUUUUUGGUCUCAAGAGCCUCAUCAGAUGGAUCUGGAGAUGGUGCUUCUCAAUCAGUGGAUGAUGAAGAUCGUGAGUGUAGCAUCAUGACCGAUGACAUAGAUCAUGGAGAAGGAUUUGUGUGUGAGAGGAGAGUGAAUUCCACAGUCAGAAACUGUUUAGACUAAGAAUUGUUUUGAAGCUGUAAUGGAUGUAUACUGGAUAGCUCCUUGGACCAAAGUCCAGCUUCCAGACAGCAUGCAUAUGUGUUGUAGCCUACUUCAUUUAUCUUGUUUUAUUUUAUUUUAUUAAAACUCUUCUCUGUAACUACUAGACAGUAUUGUCUCCAGAAGCUCCAGAUAAAAGGUUGUCUCCCUUCAAGUCUUUCAGUGACAUUUUUAAAAAGCAAUAAUUUUCCAUUCCCUUUUUCUUGUUUUAAGAACACUUGAUGAAUUUGCUUCUAGGCAAAUGGAAUCAGGGAGAUUUUUGACUAUGUCUAAGGUUGUUCAAUAAAUAAACGUAAAUAAAUUUAGCUAAUUUCUUA